rnacentral:lncRNA from 1 species
GGGAAAGUAGUUAAAUGUAUAGAGCCCCUACUAUGUUUCCAGAUGCUUUCUGUAUGCAUUAUCUCUUUUGAGCUUUGUAAUAAUUUUUUGAGGUAGGUAGUACUAGGACUAGCUCCAUUUUUGUAGAUGGGAAAACUGAGGCUGAGAAAGCAUAGAUUAUUUGUUUAGGAUCUUGAAGAAAUAAAAUGGCUGAGCUGAAGUUUGAAAUCAGAUCCUUGUGACCCCAAAUUCCCUUAGGGCCCAGGAAUAAAAUGACACCACUCUGAUUGAAAGCUAACAACCUAUACCAGUGAUGUAUUGAUAUGGUGCUGUUUCACUGAGAAAAAACUUAGUGACCAGUGCAAUCAAAAACACAGAGUAAAGGGGCAAGACUAGUCCUCCUGUGGAUAAGAAAUGGAAUUCUUGACAUGUCUACACUGUUUGUGAAAAUGGCUCCUCCUGGAACUAUGCCUCAACAUCUCUCCUGAUACUUGGAUACUUUUCCUCUGACUGGUGAGACCUCCAUCUCUGAUUCCAUCUGCAGUCAUUUGGGUGCAGUUCAGCC